rnacentral:rRNA from 1 species
CUCAACCCCGGAAUUGCUUUUGAAACUGCAAGUCUAGAAUAUGGGAGAGGUUAGUGGAAUUCCGAGUGUAGAGGUGAAAUUCGCAGAUAUUCGGAGGAACACCAGUGGCGAAGGCGACUAACUGGACCAUUAUUGACGCUCAGGCACGAAAGCGUGGGGAUCAAACAGGAUUAGAUACCCUGGUAGUCCACGCCGUAAACGAUGUGUGCUAGUUGUCGGGAUCUUAAGGUCUCGGUGACGGAGCGAAAGUAUUAAGCACACCGCCUGGGGAGUACGGCCGCAAGGUUAAAACUCAAAGGAAUUGACGGGGACCCGCACAAGCGGUGGAGCAUGUUGUUUAAUUCGAAGCAACGCGAAGAACCUUACCCACUCUUGACAUCCUCCCUGGGACUUGGAGAGAUCCUUGUCUUCGGUUCGGCCGGGGG